rnacentral:rRNA from 1 species
AGUGAACGCUGGCGGUAGGCCUAACACAUGCAAGUCGAACGGCAGCACAGUAAGAGCUUGCUCUUACGGGUGGCGAGUGGCGGACGGGUGAGGAAUACAUCGGAAUCUACUUUUUCGUGGGGGAUAACGUAGGGAAACUUACGCUAAUACCGCAUACGACCUACGGGUGAAAGCAGGGGAUCUUCGGACCUUGCGCGAUUGAAUGAGCCGAUGUCGGAUUAGCUAGUUGGCGGGGUAAAGGCCCACCAAGGCGACGAUCCGUAGCUGGUCUGAGAGGAUGAUCAGCCACACUGGAACUGAGACACGGUCCAGACUCCUACGGGAGGCAGCAGUGGGGAAUAUUGGACAAAGGGCGCAAGCCUGAUCCAGCCAUACCGCGUGGGUGAAGAAGGCCUUCGGGUUGUAAAGCCCUUUUGUUGGGAAAGAAAAGCAGCAGGUUAAUACCCCGCUGUUCUGACGGUACCCAAAGAUUAAGCACCGGCUAACUUCGUG